rnacentral:rRNA from 1 species
AGAGUUUGAUCAUGGCUCAGAUUGAACGCUGGCGGCAGGCCUAACACAUGCAAGUCGAGCGGUAGAGAGAAGCUUGCUUCUCUUGAGAGCGGCGGACGGGUGAGUAAUGCCUAGGAAUCUGCCUAGUGGUGGGGGAUAACGUUCGGAAACGGACGCUAAUACCGCAUACGUCCUACGGGAGAAAGCGGGGGAUCUUCGGACCUCGCGCCAUUAGAUGAGCCUAGGUCGGAUUAGCUAGUUGGUGAGGUAAUGGCUCACCAAGGCGACGAUCCGUAACUGGUCUGAGAGGAUGAUCAGUCACACUGGAACUGAGACACGGUCCAGACUCCUACGGGAGGCAGCAGUGGGGAAUAUUGGACAAUGGGCGAAAGCCUGAUCCAGCCAUGCCGCGUGUGUGAAGAAGGUCUUCGGAUUGUAAAGCACUUUAAGUUGGGAGGAAGGGCAGUAACCUAAUACGUUAUUGUUUUGACGUUACCGACAGAAUAAGCACCGGCUAACUUCGUGCCAGCAGCCGCGGUAAUACGAAGGGUGCAAGCGUUAAUCGGAAUUACUGGGCGUAAAGCGCGCGUAGGUGGUUCAGUAAGUUGGAAGUGAAAUCCCCGGGCUCAACCUGGGAACUGCUUUCAAAACU